AGAAUGCUCCUCAAUUCUCAGUGCUUGGUAGAUGCGUUCUACUACACGGACAAGUUUCUCGUAUAAUUGGGGAUGCAUCUCUUCUGGGGCCUGAUCCAGUUUCCGCUGAAUGUCCUCCAUCUCCAGGAGUAUAAGAUGUCGUAGAAUUCUGUGGCUUGGAAAGAUCAAACUGAUGACACCCUGAAUUUGGAUUAUUUGACACUGAAGGAAGGACAUUAUUGUCACGCAUCACUUCCAAAGGAACAAGGAUGGAUCUACAACUACAAGUGAUUCAUCGUGAUGCCCAUCCCAAAUCCCACCGCUCUAUGGAUUCUCCUUGCCCAGCCUGCAGCUUGAGACUUGAUUCCACCCGUUUCCUGCAC